GGCAGCCUGGCUUUGCCCCAGAGCGGCGGGAGAUGGGACGCCCAGCCUUUGGGAUUUGGGGUGGGGGUCCCUGAGUCAAGAGCCAAGCACCAGUAGCGGUGGCGCUGGCCCCGCCGCGGGGAGGCGCGGGGUGCGCGGCCGGCGGCUCAGCUCUCCCGAGCCGAGGCUGGAAAGGGCGGGGGCUCAGCUGGAGCUCUAGUCCAAGCCCUCGCUGCACCCCCCAGGGAGGGGGCCUGGCCCGUGGGGGGCGUCAGGCCGGUCAUGUGGGUCCCAGCUCCCGCACUCGGGAACCGGAGGAGGGCGCGCGGCCAGGGACAGCCGGCCGGCCUGGGCGCCGCGCUCCCGUCCCCACCAGCCGCGUGAGUCACGGUUGGAGCGAGGUUUUAUUUUUAAAACGACUUCAAGGGGGGCAUGAGCAGCCUCCAACUUCCCUCCCUGUGCGCGCUGUGGACCGUCAGCCCUGAGCCGGGCGGGGGCUGGGGCCGUACACCUGGCGGCUGGAACGGGGUGAGGGCGUGUGGCUGAAGCCUGUUCCUGCUUGGGGGUUGGCCACACAGCAUCCCAACUCCAGGUCCAGAGCCGAGCCUGACAGCCCUCCUCCACUGCCUCCUGGAGCUGCCGGAGAGAGGUCCGGGUCCGUUCUCCCCAAUUCACAGACAUGAAGACUGAGGCCGUGGUUCCAGUGGCUGCUCGGUGGUGGGGCUGGAGCUUGGCAGCAUCCUGCAGCCCUCUGGACUCCCGGCUCUCGAGUGCCGCGUUCUACCUGCUGUGUUCUAAAUGGACAUGCCAUCCCCACAGCUGUGUCAAUAAAGCAGCCAUUUACAGAGCGGGCGCCGGAUCCCGUGACAGGUUGAAAAGAGCUGCCGUGUGCCAUUGGCACCUCCUGUGUGCCAAGUGCUGGCUUAGUCUCCCCUGGCGUUUUCUCAUAUCCCAUUAACAACCCACCCAGUGGGUAUCAUCAUCCCCAUUUCACAGGAGCUGUCACUGCCUCUCUCCUUGAUGGCGGGGUAUGAAGAGAAGCCUUUUGACGCAGGGAGAUGACCCCUCCCCGGCCUCCACCUACACAGCAGCCACGUGGCCACCCUGAACAGCUGCCACAGUGACCGACACCCCCUGGAUGUGUUUGUCCUCCCACAGCAAAGCACAAUUAACAUCCCCACUGGUAAAUGAUAUGGGGCCAUAUUUCACCUGGACCCAAAUGUGGGCCACAGAGGCAUUAAAAUAAAUGACGGCACGGU
rnacentral:lncRNA from 1 species